ACACGGMCCAAGGAGUCUAGCAUGUGCGCGAGUCAUUGGGAAUUUUUUAAACCCAAMGGCGUAAUGAAAGUGAACAGCGACGACCUCSUGUCGUCYGUAGGGAAGACGGCGUACGGKACGACCGUUCGCCCGCACUCCCGAGGCGUUUCGAGAAAUGCCCUCGUUGCGAUUAUCGAGACGCACUGAGAGCGUMCACGCUGGGACCCGAAAGAUGGUGAACUAUGCCUGGUCAGGUUGAAGUCAGGGGAAACCCUGAUGGAGGACCGAASCGAUUCUGACGUGCAAAUCGAUCGUCUGAACUGGGUAUAGGGGCGAAAGACUAAUCGAACUAUCUAAUAGCUGGUUCCAUSCGAAGUUUCC
rnacentral:rRNA from 1 species